CCUGAGAAACCCAAAAGUUCGAAUGGAGAGAUUCAUCGUCAGCGAUCCCGGCGAUGCGCGGUUCGCGAUGCCCGAGACCUCGGUCCCGCGGCACGCGUCCGUGUCAUUUGUUUGCCGGGCGUCGUCGUCGUGCACUUCUCCCCUAGUAGGACGUCGCGACCCGUUGGGUGUCGGUCUACGACUCGGGUGGGUGCCCGUCAUGUGUUACGCUUCACGGCGUCAUGUGGCAGACCCCCGGUUGUCCGACCAGCUGCCCGGCGGUACUCGCACGGUAUUGAGUCGCAAAUUUGAACUGCGUCCGGCCCGCCGCAAGCGAGGCCAGUGUUUCCCGGAUGUACGGACUUAACGCCGUCACCGGGCCUGGCCAGCUGUUGGCCGGCGGUGUCCUGGGACUGGCUCUAAACGAAAUACCGGUCGGCGACGCUACUGCUUUGGGUACUUUCAGGA
rnacentral:rRNA from 1 species